CUCCUCUUCUGUGCAUGUUUCUUCGACCUGUAUGGUACCUCUAGUCUUUCCAUUUAUUUGGACUGGAAGGACUACAGUGCUCUCUUUUAAAUAUGCAGCAUCAGCCUGUCAUUAAAACGGUAAUCAACAAGCGCUUCACUUAAUCCAAUGAUUUAAGAUGUUCAUGAGGCAGCAUCAGCCUGUCAUUAUAACCGUAAAUCAGUUUUAACGUUUCACCCAAUUCAAUGAUUCAAGAUGUUCAUGACCUUUUUUUUCUUUUUGAUAAAGUAAGAUGUUCAUGAGCUUUCAGUAAUCCCGUAAAUUUAAUUAGUCUCUCUAGCCACUAUAGACAACAUUAGGCAUUCAUAACUUUCAAAAAUAAAUAUGUUUUAGCCUGCUUAUGUGGAAUAUUUGCUGAAAAUGGACUCCUGCAGUUUUUCAAGAAAACUGGACGACUAAAUAUGUACAUAACGAGCAGCUCUCUGGUAGGAUGUUUGUAACUCAGCUCCCUUUUCUUUAGCAACAGUAAAGAGACUAGAAAAAGACAAGCGAUCCAUCAUCUGUCAAACAGGUAGAAUGGGGGAGAAAGGAAUAUAAGAAAGUAAAAAUCUAGGAUCAAGGAAAAGCUCACCUU
rnacentral:lncRNA from 1 species